rnacentral:lncRNA from 1 species
AAUCAGAAAAAGAUUUUCGGUGCGUUUUUUAGCGAAAUCCGCCGACGGAACGCAGUUUAAGUUUGGAAUUCUUCUGACGGUGCCUCGUGAGUAAUUGUGGUGUCGCGGAGCCUUGUUGGCUGGUCACCCGCAUCGUUUUGAGGGUUUGGAAACGACGGGUUGUUAAGUCUUGUGUGUUGGCAAGUUUCGUGAAGUGAGUCGAAGUCUUAAAGAAUCGGUGCGUAUCGUUGAAGAUCGAAGAAUUCAAGAUUUCGAAGAAAUUGGAUAAAUAACUCACGACGUGAAU